GACCUCGUUAGCUUAGUUGGUAGAGCAGCGGGGCGUAAACCUCAAAAUCUCUGGGUUCGAAUCCCAGUCGAGUUCG